rnacentral:rRNA from 1 species
UACGUAGGGGGCAAGCGUUGUCCGGAAUCAUUGGGCGUAAAGCGCGCGUAGGCGGUCCGGUAAGUCCGCUCUGAAAGUCCAGGGCUCAACCCUGGAAAGCGGGUGGAUACUGCCGGGCUAGAAUCCGGAAGAGGCGAGUGGAAUUCCUGGUGUAGCGGUGGAAUGCGCAGAUAUCAGGAGGAACACCAAUAGCGAAGGCAGCUCGCUGGGACGGUAUUGACGCUAAGGCGCGAAAGCGUGGGGAGCAAACAGG